rnacentral:rRNA from 1 species
UACAGAGGGGGCAAGCGUUGUUCGGAAUUACUGGGCGUAAAGGGCGCGUAGGCGGCCUGUUAAGUCGAACGUGAAAUCCCCGGGCUCAACCCGGGAACUGCGUCCGAUACUGGCAGGCUUGAUCCGGGAGAGGGAUGCGGAAUUCCAGGUGUAGCGGUGAAAUGCGUAGAUAUCUGGAGGAACACCGGUGGCGGAAGGCGGCAUCC